rnacentral:rRNA from 1 species
AAUUAUUGUUAUUGUCAUUAUACAGCACUGUAUCCUGUCUGAUCUUUGAUGCUAAGCAGGGUCAUACCUGGGUUGGUAUUUGGAUAGGAGACCUUAAACAAAUCCAGGUGCUGUAGACU